AUGCAAUGAAAUUCUUUUCCGCGCUACAGUUAAGAGAACUCUGUUUAGUAGAGAUGAGAUUUUAGACCCUAGGGAAUUAUAUUUGGGAACUGGCUGUCCAGCAACUCAGGUGGAAGCAGAAGAACUUAUAUUUCAGUACUCUCACUUUCAGUGUGGAAUCCGACCACAGGUUUUCCCUAAUGGUUUGAUCCUCAGUUCCCACCUGAUCUAUAUAUCAUUGAAUCGAUUUAAUUAUGCUGAAAUUGCUUUGGAGUGUACAGUUUCCAGGACCCAUAUCUUUCCUAGUCGAUACUGGUUUGGGAUAGAAAACAGAUUCUGUAAGUUAUGUGGCACUCCCCACUACAAAGAUAACAAGUUACCAGGAGCUGGUGGACCACUGAACCACUCAGUUGUACAGAAGCCUUUCGGCUCUGCACCGGAGCCACAGAACAGAAGAUUGAGUGACUUUCCUUCUUACAAAAUCACUCGUUUUUAAAUUGCUUUAAUCUAUUGUAAUCCUGUUUGUGAUGCCUUUAAGAGGCCAU